GCGAUCCUGAAUCGCCUAAGUAUUAACCUCCUCCGAGUGUGCACUAUACGUCACACUCGGGGACUUAGCGGCGAUCCUGAAUCGUCUAAGUAUUAACUUCCUCCGAAUGUGCACUCUACGUCACACUCGGGGACUUAGCUGCGAUUCUGAAUCGUCUAAGUAUUAACUUCCUCCCAGUGUGCACUAUACGUCACACUCGGAGACUUAGCUGCGAUCCUGAAUCGCCUAAGUAUUAACCUCCUCCGAGUGUGCACUCUACGUCACACUCGGGGACUUAGCUGCGAUCCUGAAUCGCCUAAGUAUUAACUUCCUCCGAGUGUG
rnacentral:lncRNA from 1 species